rnacentral:rRNA from 1 species
GACGAACGCUGGCGGCGUGCUUAACACAUGCAAGUCGAACGGUGAACCACCUUCGGGUGGGGAUCAGUGGCGAACGGGUGAGUAACACGUGGGUAACCUGCCCUCCACUCUGGGAUAACUCCGGGAAACCGGGGCUAAUACCGGAUACGACCUGAGGCGGCAUCGCCUCGGGUGGAAAGUUUUUCGGUGGAGGAUGGACCCGCGGCCUAUCAGCUUGUUGGUGGGGUAAUGGCCUACCAAGGCGAUGACGGGUAGCCGGCCUGAGAGGGCGACCGGCCACACUGGGACUGAGACACGGCCCAGACUCCUACGGGAGGCAGCAGUGGGGAAUAUUGCACAAUGGGCGAAAGCCUGAUGCAGCGACGCCGCGUGAGGGAUGACGGCCUUCGGGUUGUAAACCUCUUUCAGCAGGGACGAAGCGCAAG